CACAUAUCUCUAACCCGCACUAUAAAAGCGUAUCCCUAAUGAAGCACGCAAUCUUUUCUUCCCGAAGCCCAAACCUGUCUUCCAGAAAGCUCCCAAAUCUUCCAGACCAGACUUGAGACCCCCCCCCCACUUCUCAACUUCCUGUGUCUCUCUGUGAAAGGGGGAAAAAUGAGUAGCCGCUCAAGCUGUACCAUCUAUGUUGGAAAUCUCCCUGGUGAUACUCGUAUGAGAGAAGUAGAAGAUCUGUUUCGUAAGUAUGGGCCUAUUGUUGACAUUGAUCUGAAGCUCCCACCAAGACCGCCAGGUUAUGCUUUUGUUGAGUUUGAAGACCCACGUGAUGCUGAAGAUGCAAUAUAUUACCGGGAUGGGUAUAACUUUGAUGGUUGUCGUUUACGGGUUGAACUUGCAAAUGGCCGGCGAGGACAUUCAUCAUCAGUGGAUCGCUAUAGCAGUUAUAGUGGUAGUCGCAGUAGCCGUGGUAUUCCGAGGCAUUCUGACUAUCGUGUUUUGGUCACUGGAUUACCUCCUUCUGCUUCAUGGCAAGACCUGAAGGAUCAUAUGCGUCAAGCUGGUGAUGUCCUCUUCUCUCAAGUAUUCCGUGAUCGUGGUGGCAUGUCAGGAAUUGUGGAUUAUGCACACUAUGAUGACAUGAAGUAUGCUAUCAGAAAACUUGAUGACACUGAAUUUCGGAAUUCUUUUUCGCGGGCUUACAUACGGGUGAGGGAUUAUGAUUCGAGACGGAGCUACUCUAGAAGUCGCAGCCGUGAUUCAAGACAGAGCUAUUCAAGAAGCCCUGUUCGUAGUCCUUAUAUGUCAAGAAGCCCAAGUCACAGCCAUAGCUAUAGUGGCAGGAGCAGAAGCAUAUCUCCAAAGAGAAAAUAUUCAUUUCGAUCUCCCUCAGUAUCUCGUUCAAGAUCUGGACUUUGCGGCGACCUGGGGACUGCAUGUUAGGAACUUGAUGGCAUGUGGUACUCUGACGCCUGCAACUCUUUUGGUUGUUUGAGACUGGAUCAUUGUAGACGGAUGAGUUGCGAUUUAAAAGCUGGAUUUCCUGUGAACUGAGUGCUAUUUUACCACUCACAACAAUUCCACGGUGUAGAUGAUUCAAAACUUCUUCUCAACAUUAUAACUUGCGGUUGGGAAUCUGGGGUGGAUGUCAUUCUCCUUCCAACUAGGAUUUUACAUUAUGGUGCUGUAUUUGUUUUUUCUUUAUCACUCCAUUUGAGUUGUCAUGUGCUGCGGGAGAAAGAUGAUUUAGUAAGAGGUUGUGAUCAUGAGAAAAUUGGAUCUCGAUCAAGAUCCAGAUCUCCAGUUACUUCGCCUCCUCGCCAUAAAAGUCGAAGUCCCAGCAGGAGCAUUAGAAGCCUAUCACCCUCCCGUCCGCC